AACGAACGCUGGCGGCGUGCCUAACACAUGCAAGUCGAACGUGAAAGCCUCCGGGCAAGUAAAGUGGCGCACGGGUGAGUAACACGUAGGUAACCUACCUUAGAGUUUGGAAUAACCUGCCGAAAGGCGGGCUAAUACCAGAUAGCUCAAGACUAUUAUAGUGGUAGUUUUGGAAAAGGGUGGUGGCAACACCCCUUGCUUUAAGAUGGGCCUGCGUCUCAUUAGUUUGAUGGUAGGGUAACGGCCUACCAUGGCGAUGAUGAGUAGCUGGUCUAAGAGGAUGAUCAGCCACACUGGGACUGAAACACGGCCCAG
rnacentral:rRNA from 1 species